GUAAUGUAACGGUUUUCUGACUUUUUUUUUCAAGGGAUUUCCCUAUACUAAGGAAUACUACUAAAGAAAAUAAAAAAAAACUUUCAUCAAAGAUUAAAAUUUUAUUAGAUACCUCUAAAAUUAAUAAUCGAAUAAUCUGAACAAGAUUUCUGGUAAAAAAGUUAUUCACAUAUAGAAAAAAAAAAAGCUGUCCUAGAAUAAUGGGGACAGUUGCAGCCACUGUUGUAGGUGGGAAGUUGAGAAGGUAGGAUAAA